rnacentral:rRNA from 1 species
UACGGAGGGAGCUAGCGUUGUUCGGAAUUACUGGGCGUAAAGCGCACGUAGGCGGUUAUUCAAGUCAGAGGUGAAAGCCCGGGGCUCAACUCCGGAACUGCCUUUGAAACUAGAUAGCUUGAAUCCAGGAGAGGUGAGUGGAAUUCCGAGUGUAGAGGUGAAAUUCGUAGAUAUUCGGAAGAACACCAGUGGCGAAGGCGGCUCACUGGACUGGUAUUGACGCUGAGGUGCGAAAGCGUGGGGAGCGAACAGG